rnacentral:tRNA from 1 species
AUUCAAAUAGCUUAUAUUUAGAGUAUAACAUUGAAGAUGUUGUGGAGAUUGUUAAAUCUUUGAAUA